CGAGAUAGAGUGCGGGCGCAUCAGUCGCGCGCGCAUUGCCUACUAAAACUGCUAGCUCCAUUUGGGGCUGUCCAGUGCGCCGGUCAAGCUGGACGUAAUCACGGCGCGCGACAAACAAUUGAAUGAAGACGACGAUGGCAGAGACGACGCCGACGCCCACAGCGCGGCGCUUAAAUCAGCCCCUCAGCAGCAUAGCACACAAGAAAAGGAGAUGGCGUGAGAGACGGAAGAAGAGAUAGAGAUAGAAGAGAUAUUCCACUAAUGCACCCAACUCCCCGGUUGCUUUUCAAAUCGUCGCUCCAUUUUAAUGGCUAAUUAUUGGAAAACCAAAAGACAGCCAUGCCAGCCGGUGGAAAGUAUUUCGAUUAGUGGCAGAUACAAACCAAAAUCGUUGGCCAGCCACAUAGUUAAACACUGUCCCGAUUUGUGGGGCCGCUACAGUUGGAGCUGCCGUAGCCUCAUUGCGGAUCCAAAAAUGGUCAGCGUUUUAAUACCUGUGCAUAAAUCUUAUACUAUCGAUCAUUGUCAAGUGGCUAGAUAAUUUACAAUAAAUCUGUACAGUAUUAGAAUCCGA